CGGGACAUAGCUCAGCUUGAUUAGAGUGCCUGGUUUGGGACCAGGAGGUCGCAGGUUUAAAUCCUGUUGUCCCGA
rfam:Podiceps cristatus contig127015, whole genome shotgun sequence.